CGGCGGACGGGUGAGUAACGCGUGGGUAACCUGCCUUACACAGGGGGAUAACAGUUAGAAAUGACUGCUAAUACCGCAUAAGACCACAGUACUGCAUGGUACAGUGGUAAAAACUGAGGUGGUGUAAGAUGGACCCGCGUCUGAUUAGGUAGUUGGUGGGGUAACGGCCCACCAAGCCGACGAUCAGUAGCCGGCCUGAGAGGGUGGACGGCCACAUUGGGACUGAGACACGGCCCAGACUCCUACGGGAGGCAGCAG
rnacentral:rRNA from 1 species